GUACAAGUAGUUAGGAGACACCGUGGUCAGGUAGGACUCCAGGACAGAACAGGUCAAACAAGCCGAGGUCAGGUUUCCGGAGAGCAGGAUAGUCAUAUAACGUAGCCGAGGUCAGGAUUCAGGAAAACAGGAUAAACGUAAACGUAGCCGAGGUCAGGAUUCAGGAAAACAGGAUAAACGUAAACGUAGCCGAGGUCAGGAAUCAGGAACACAA